CCUACGGGUGGCAGCAGUGAGGAAUAUUGGUCAAUGGACGGAAGGCUGAACCAGCCAAGCCGCGGGAAGGACGAAGGUGCCAAGCAUUGUAAACUUCUUUUGUCAAGGGACAAAAUCAGGCGCGAGAGCCUUACCGAGGGUACGUGAAGAAAAAGCAUCGGCUAACUCCGUGCCAGCAGCCGCGGUAAUACGGAGGAUGCGAGCGUUAUCCGGAUUUACUGGGGGUAAAGGGAGCGUAGACGGCGGGGCAAGCCAGAUGUGAAAGCCCGGGGCUCAACCCCGGGACUGCAUUUGGAACUGGGCUGCUCGCGUGUCGGAGAGGCAGGCGGACUUCCUCGUGUAGCGG
rnacentral:rRNA from 1 species